rnacentral:rRNA from 1 species
GUGCACCAGGCGCGAAUCCUCCGCAAUACACGAAAGUGUGACGGGGUUACCCAAAGUGUCCAAAUUUGGACUGUGGUAGGUGAGUAAUGUCCCCUACUAGAAAGGAGAGGGCAAGGCUGGUGCCAGCCGCCGCGGUAAAACCAGCUCUUCAAGUGGUCGGGAUAAUUAUUGGGCUUAAAGUGUCCGUAGCCGGUUUAGUAAGUUCCUGGUAAAAUCGGGUAGCUUAACUAUCUGUAUGCUAGGAAUACUGCUAUACUAGAGGGCGGGAGAGGUCUGAGGUACUACAGGGGUAGGGGUGAAAUCCUGUAAUCCUUGUAGGACCACCAGUGGCGAAGGCGUCAGACUGGAACGCGCCUGACGGUGAGGGACGAAAGCCAGGGGAGCGAACCGGAUUAGAUACCCCUGUAGU